rnacentral:rRNA from 2 species
CCCGGUGAAGUUUAAACGGCCGCAGUUGGAAGCUGUGCUAAGGUAGCGUAGUAAGUUGUCCUUUAAAUGGGGAAAGGAAUGAAUGGUUUGACGUGAGAGUUUCUGUCUCUGGUGAAGGAAAAGAAAUUUUCUUCUUGGUGAAAAGCCCAGGAUUAAAUUAAAAGACGAGAAGACCCUUUCGAGCUUGAUCAAGCUAUGAAGAAAUUUGUAGUGGAAGUUUAGUUGGGGCAACUUAGGAGCAAGAAAAGACUCCUUUAAGAUUUUUAGAUCCAAAAGUUUUGAAUAGAGAAAAAGCUACCGUAGGGAUAACAGCGUUAUCUUCUCUGAGAGAACAAAUUGAAGAGAGG